UACGAGGGGUGCAAGCGUUAUUCGGAAUCAUUGGGCGUACAGGGCGCGUAGACGGCAUAUUAAGUCAACUGUUAAAUUCUCCGGCCUAACUGGAGGUCAGCAGUAGAUACUGAUGUGCUUGAGGAUGGAAGAGAGAAGUGGAAUUCUCGGAGUAGCGGUAAAAUGCGUAGAUCUCGAGAGGAACACCGAUGGCGAAGGCAGCUUCUUGGUCCACUCCUGACGUUGAGGCGCGAAAGCGUGGGGAG
rnacentral:rRNA from 1 species